rnacentral:rRNA from 1 species
UACGACUACAUAUCAGGCAUAUCAAUAAGCGGAGGAAAAGAAACUAACAAGGAUUCCCUUAGUAACGGCGAGUGAAGCGGGAAGAGCUCAAAUUUGAAAUCUUCAAGGUUCUACCUUGACGAAUUGUAGUUUAUAGAAGUGUUUUCUGUUAGAGAGGUAGCUAAAAGUUCCUUGGAAUAGGGACAUCAUAGAGGGUGAGAAUCCCGUAUUUGUUAUUCACUUUCUAACGUUGUGAUACACUUUCAAAGAGUCGGAUUGUUUGGGAAUGCAGUCCAAAAUGGGUGGUAAAUUUCAUCUAAAGCUAAAUAUUGGCGAGAGACCGAUAGCGAACAAGUACCGUGAGGGAAAGAUGAAAAGAACUUUGAAAAGAGAGUUAAACAGUACGUGAAAUUGUCAAAAGGGAAGCGUUUGACACCAGUGUUGUUUUUCCGAAAAUCAAUUAAGAGUGGCUUGAUCUUGUGUUGUAUUGACCUUAUCAGCUUUCUUCACUCUUUUUCGAGUCUUUCUUAAUGCACUUUUCGGUUAACAAGUCAACAUCAAUUUCUUUUGUUGUAAAAGGGUAUUUGGAAGGUGGCUUUCUUUUCGGAGAAAGUGUUUAUAGCCUUAUACCUCUACAAUCGGAGAGAUUGAGGUCUGCAGCGUAGAUCCUUCGGGGCUAGAUACACUUGUGCUAAGUUAUAGCUUUUCAUAGACAACUUGUUGACUAUGUUUAGUCAUGUAGCUUACCCGCUUGUGCUAUUUUACCUACGCUUAGGAUGUUGAUCUACAGAGCGAGAGU